UACGUAAGGUCCGAGCGUUGUCCGGAAUUAUUGGGCGUAAAGGGUAUGUAGGCGGAUAAGCAAGUUAGAAGUGAAAUCCUAUAGCUUAACUAUAGUCAGCGGUUAAAACGGCUCAGCUUGAGGUAUGGAAGGGAAAGUGGAAUUCCUAGUGUAGCGGUGAAAUGCGCAGAUAUUAGGAGGAAUACCGGUGGCGAAGGCGACUUUCUGGCCCUAAACUGACGCUGAGGUACGAAAGCGUGGGUAGCAAACAGG
rnacentral:rRNA from 1 species